AUGCCUGUGAGGAUUAAAAAUUGGAAUUACCGGCUGAUUUAUUUUGAUGUCAUAUGGCUAUCUGAGGCUUACA